GGGGCGGUAGCUCAGCCUGGUCAGAGCAGGGGGCUUUUAACCCUCGUGUCGCGGGUUCGAAUCCUGCCCGCCCCACGA
rnacentral:tRNA from 1 species